rnacentral:rRNA from 1 species
UUGAACGCUGGCGGCAUGCCUUACACAUGCAAGUCAAACGGCAGCACGGGUGCUUGCACCUGGUGGCGAGUGGCGAACGGGUGAGUAAUACAUCGGAACAUGUCCUGUAGUGGGGGAUAGCCCGGCGAAAGCCGGAUUAAUACCGCAUACGAUCCAUGGAUGAAAGCGGGGGACCUUCGGGCCUCGCGCUAUAGGGUUGGCCGAUGGCUGAUUAGCUAGUUGGUGGGGUAAAGGCCCACCAAGGCGACGAUCAGUAGCUGGUCUGAGAGGACGACCAGCCUCACUGGGACUGAGACACGGCCCAGACUCCUACGGGAGGCAGCAGUGGGGAAUUUUGGACAAUGGGCGAAAGCCUGAUCCAGCAAUGCCGCGUGUGUGAAGAAGGCCUUCGGGUUGUAAAGCACUUUUGUCCGGAAAGAAAUCCUGAGGGCUAAUAUCCUUCGGGGAUGACGGUACCGGAAGAAUAAGCACCGGCUAACUACGUGCCAGCAGCCGCCGUAA